GGGCGGAUGGUUUAGUGGUAUAAUACUCCCUUAGCAUGGUUCCCCCUAACAGGGUCUGAUUUGGGAGUGGUCCGGGGUUCGAUUCCCCGUUCGUCCA
rnacentral:tRNA from 1 species